GCUGCUAAUCUAUCGCCGCUGCUAAGCUAUCCCUCGCUGCUAAGCUAUCGCCGCUGCCAACCUAUCUAUUGCUGCAAGCUAUCCCUCGCUGCUAAGCUAUCGCUGUCAACCUCUCUAUUGCUGCAAGCUAUCCCUCGCUGCUAAGCUAUCGCUGCCAACCUAUCUAUCGCUGCCAAUUUAUCUACCACUGCCAAUCUAUCUAUUGCUGCUAAUCUAUCGCUGCUGUCAAUCUAUCUAUCGCUGCUAAUCUAUCUAUCGCUGCUAAUCUAUCGCCGCUGCCAAUCUAUCCCUCACUGCUAAGCUAUCCCUCGCUGCUAAGCUAUCCCUCACUACUAAGCUAUCUAUCACUGCUAAUCUAUCGCUGCCAACCUAUCUAUCACUGCCAAUCUAUCUAUCGCUGCUAAUCUAUCGCUGCUAAUCUAUCGCUGCUAAUCUAUCGCUGCUGCCAAUCUAUCUAUCGCUGCUAAUCUAUCGCCGCUGCCAAUCUAUCCCUCGCUGCUAAGCUAUCCCUCGCUGCUAAGCUAUCCCUCACUGCUAAGCUAUCCCUCGCUGCUAAUCUAUCGCUGCCAACCUAUCUAUCACUGCCAAUCUAUCUAUCGCUGCUAAUCUAUCGCUGCUAAUCUAUCGCUGCUAAUCUAUCGCUGCUAAUCUAUCGCUGCCAACCUAUCUACCGCGGCGAAUCUAUCUAUCACUAUCAUUACUAGUUCAAAAUAGAACUAGAGCAUAAAUACACUAAACUUCUUUUGAUAGGUAAUGAUUUUUGGUAACGCUCAUAGCAUUAUAUCAUCUAUAUAGGGUAAAUCAUGGUCCCAUUUGGUCCCAUUUUAACAAAAUGGGACCAAAUGGGACCAGAAUCAGUAAUUUAUAAGAAGAACAUGACCUGGGACUAGAUUUAUAAUAUAAACAGUGUAAAGUGACUAAUUUAAUAAACACUAUAUAGGAUCAGAACU
rnacentral:sRNA from 1 species